rnacentral:rRNA from 1 species
UCACCUACGGGACGCAGCAGUGAGGAAUAUUGGUCAAUGGGCGAGAGCCUGAACCAGCCAAGUCGCGUGAGGGAAGACGGUUCUAUGGAUUGUAAACCUCUUUUGCCGGGGAGCAAAAAGCGGUACGUGUACCGCAUCGAGAGUACCCGAAGAAAAAGCAUCGGCUAACUCCGUGCCAGCAGCCGCGGUAAUACGGAGGAUGCGAGCGUUAUCCGGAUUUAUUGGGUUUAAAGGGUGCGCAGGCGGACCAUCAAGUCAGCGGUAACAUCGUGGGGCC